rnacentral:rRNA from 1 species
UGGGGAAUUUUGGACAAUGGGGGAAACCCUGAUCCAGCCAUCCCGCGUGUGCGAUGAAGGCCUUCGGGUUGUAAAGCACUUUUGGCAGGAAAGAAACGUCAUGGGUUAAUACCCCGUGAAACUGACGGUACCUGCAGAAUAAGCACCGGCUAACUACGUGCCAGCAGCCGCGGUAAUACGUAGGGUGCAAGCGUUAAUCGGAAUUACUGGACGUAAAGCGUGCGCAGGCGGUUCGGAAAGAAAGAUGUGAAAUCCCAGAGCUCAACUUUGGAACUGCAUUUUUAACUACCGGGCUAGAGUGUGUCAGAGGGAGGUGGAAUUCCGCGUGUAGCAGUGAAAUGCGUAGAUAUGCGGAGGAACACCGAUGGCGAAGGCAGCCUCCUGGGAUAACACUGACGCUCAUGCACGAAAGCGUGGGGAGCAAACAGG